UGAUGAUGAUGAUGAUGAUGAUGUUGAUGAUGAUGGUGAUGGUGAUGAUUAUGACCAUCAUCAUCACCAUGAUCAUCACCAUCAUUAUCAUCAUCA
rnacentral:pre_miRNA from 1 species